GACGAACGCUGGCGGCGUGCCUAAUACAUGCAAGUAGAACGCACAGUUUAUACCGUAGCUUGCUACACCAUAGACUGUGAGUUGCGAACGGGUGAGUAACGCGUAGGUAACCUGCCUGGUAGCGGGGGAUAACUAUUGGAAACGAUAGCUAAUACCGCAUAAUAUUGAUUAUUGCAUGAUAAUUAAUUGAAAGGUGCAAUUGCACCACUACCAGAUGGACCUGCGUUGUAUUAGCUAGUAGGUGAGGUAACGGCUCACCUAGGCGACGAUACAUAGCCGACCUGAGAGGGUGAUCGGCCACACUGGGACUGAGACACGGCCCAGACCCCUACGGGAGGCAGCAGUAGGGAAUCUUCGGCAAUAGACGAAAGUCUGACCGAGCAACGCCGCGUGAGUGAAGAAGGUUUUCGGAUCGUAAAGCUCUGUUGUAAGAGAAGAACGGGUGUGAGAGUGGAAAGUGCACACUGUGACGGUACCUUACCAGAAAGGGACGGCUAACUACGUG
rnacentral:rRNA from 1 species